rnacentral:rRNA from 1 species
GACGAACGCUGGCGGCGUGCUUAACACAUGCAAGUCGAACGGUAAGGCCCUUCGGGGUACACGAGUGGCGAACGGGUGAGUAACACGUGGGUGAUCUGCCCUGCACUUCGGGAUAAGCCUGGGAAACUGGGUCUAAUACCGGAUAGGACCACUGCCUGCAUGGGUGGUGGUGGAAGCUUUUGCGGUGUGGGAUGGGCCCGCGGCCUAUCAGCUUGUUGGUGGGGUGAUGGCCUACCAAGGCGACGACGGGUAGCCGGCCUGAGAGGGUGACAGGCCACACUGGGACUGAGAUACGGCCCAGACUCCUACGGGAGGCAGCAGUGGGGAAUAUUGCACAAUGGGCGCAAGCCUGAUGCAGCGACGCCGCGUGAGGGAUGACGGCCUUCGGGUUGUAAACCUCUUUCAGCACCGACGAAGCGCAAGUGACGGUAGGUGCAGAAGAAGGACCGGCCAACUACGUGCCAGCAGCCGCCGCCG